rnacentral:misc_RNA from 1 species
GAUGAAGAACGCAGUGAAAUGCGAUAAGUAGUGUGAAUUGCAGAAUUCAGUGAAUCAUCGAAUCUUUGAACGCACAUUGCGGCCAUAGGUAUUCCUUUGGCCAUGCCUGUUCGAGCGUCAUUUACACCCUCAAGCCUAGCUUGGUGUUGGGCGUCUGUCCCGCCGUUUUCGCGCGCGGACUCGCCUCAAAGUCAUUGGCGGCGGUCGUGCCGGCCCCCUCGCGCAGCACAUUUGCGCUUCUCGGAGGCCCGGCGGAUCCGCGCUCCAGCAAGACCUUUCACGACUUGACCUCGGAUCAGGUAGGGAUACCCGCUGAACUUAAGCAUAUCAAUAAGCGGAGGA